GUGGAUAUCUGCCUUUUGGUUCGGGAUAACCUUGGGAAACUAGGGCUAAUACCGAAUGGUUCCUACGGGAUAAAGAUUUAUCGCCAAAAGAUGAGUCCGCGUCCGAUUAGCUAGUUGGUGUGGUAAUGGCGCACCAAGGCGACGAUCGGUAGCUGGUCUGAGAGGACGAUCAGCCACACUGGGACUGAGACACGGCCCAGACUCCUACGGGAGGCAGCAGUGGGGAAUAUUGGACAAUGGGGGCAACCCUGAUCCAGCCAUGCCGCGUGAGUGAUGAAGGCCUUCGGGUUGUAAAGCUCUUUUGGCGGGGACGAUGAUGACGGUACCCGCAGAAUAAGCCCCGGCUAACUUCGUGCCAGCAGCCGCGGUAAGACGAAGGGGGCUAGCGUUGUUCGGAAUUACUGGGCGUAAAGCGUGUGUAGGUGGUUGUCAUAGUCAGGCGUGAAAGCCUUGAGCUCAACUCAAGAAAUGCGCUUGAUACUGGGCAGCUAGAGGACCGGAGAGGAUAGUGGAAUU
rnacentral:rRNA from 1 species